GUCCAGCCUUCAGCCCGGUUCGGUUUCUAGGUUGGACCCAGGGCAACUCCAGCCGUUUCCAGACCCGGUUUCGGAAAAGAAAUGAUCAAAUAAAGCCUCGAAAGCUCCUGAGGUAAAAGCCGCAGAGGAUCUGAGCGGGACGGCCCAGCCCCUCCGGAGGCAGCGAGCGCGUGGAGGCGGUGGCUCCGGCUCAGGAAAGAGAGAAGCUAACAAGAAAAGCCACUCUUCUUGUUUCCAUCUCCACAGUGGAAGAAAUGCCCUCUUUUUUAGUUAAGAAAACAGAGAGUCAAAAGAAGAUGGGAGACCUCUGCACACUCAAUCAGGAAAUUCCUGGAAUACCAGACUGUUUCCAUCAAUGUGGGUCAGCACAUCUGUAAUAACUCACAUCUCCAGGAUGUUUACUGACAUCAUUAUAGCCUCAUCACUCAGCCUCAUGAAUGGAGCUCAAAGAUGCUACAAGCACUGCCUGAGUUAGUGGCUACAGGAUCAGCCAGCACCCUGGUAUGUUCCCUAAAUGAUGUAAACAGCAGUUAUCUGGCCAAACCAAGGUGAUUUUGUACUCAUUACUGUCACCAUAAUUGCCGCUGGAGUGAGAAGCCAGUGGAAAUAGCCUGAG
rnacentral:lncRNA from 1 species